GGGCAAUGUAGCAAGACCCUGUCUGUACAAAAAACAAAUUAAGUUAAAUUGACAAAUUAAUUAAUUAACUUAAAAUGUGUUCAUUAGGGUGGUCCCAAUCCAAGAUGACUGGUGUUCUUAUAAAGAAAUUAGAAGACAGAGGGACAACCAUCUGCAAGCCAAGGAGAGAGCCCUCAAUACCUUGAUCUUGGACUUCUAGCCUCCAGAAUGGUGCAGCCUGAAGUUCUCUGAGCAUGAGUGACCUUCCAGUGUGUCAGAGCCAUUAGUAGGGUCAUUGCUUCAGGGGAAACUGAUGGAGAUGUGGAAUAGACACAAAUAAAAUCAAUGCCAAGCUGGAGGUAGUGAAGCAGGCCACUGAAGAUUCGUGAGCAGUGGGGUGAUGAGGUCAGAUCUGUGCUGUAGAAGGAUUAGAAUGGUUUCAAACUGAGUAGAGCAAAGGUGAAAUCCAAACACUUUCUCCCACUUGAAUAGAAUAAAUAUUCGUGUAUCUAUCUCAUCCCCCCAUCUGAGUUCCUUCCCAACUAAGGUCAGCAUGACCCAAAGUUGGAGUAAAUUAACAAGUGGGAGAAGGAGCUAGGCAUGGUGACUUGGGCCUGUAGUCCCAACUGCUAGGGAGGCUAAGGUGGGAAGAUUCCUUGAGCUCAGGAGUUCAAGGCCAGCCUGGACAACAUAACAAGACUUGCAUCUCUAAUUAAAUAAAAAAUAGGUGGAGGCCUAGAAACAACCCAACUAUCCAUCAACAGGUGAAUGGAUUAACAAUGAUAGUGUAGACAUAAAUGGAAUACUACUCAGGAAAAAAAAAAUAAAAUAAGGAGGGGGAUUGUUAGGGACAGGUGCAGGUUGGCAGUACUAAUGACAGGAAAAGAGGAGGGGGGCAAAAAUGAGGAAGUCAAUGAGCAUUUAGAACCAAACCCAGAACAGCAGGAACUUGGGGUUAGGGACUUAUCCUGGCCAGGAGCAUGCACAAAAACUAGGAGCUCAUGCCCAGAGGUAACUUUUUCCCGCAUUGACAGUAAAAAUCACACCCAUCAGUGCCAUGACAUUUCACAAUUGUCAUGGCAACCCCUGAAAGUUACCCUAUAAAGAUAAAAUUGAGGAGGGCCUUUAGCUCUAAGAACUCUCCACCCUUUUUCCAGAGAAAUAAUGAAUAUUCUAUCCACUAUUUAGCAUAUCAUAAGAUAUAGACACAAAAGUAGACAUGUGGUAAGACCCUAGCAUCUUCUCCACUUCAGAAAUAGACCCAUUUCCCCUCAGGAAACAUCCUUUCUAUUUCUGUACUAAAAAGCCAGCAAUAAAAGCUGUUUGUGUGA